UCCCGUUUAGCUCAGUUGGUAGAGCGCGUCACUAGUACCACCCGAUUGGCUAUGACGAGGUCAGUCGUUCGAGUCGGCUAAUGGGAA